rnacentral:rRNA from 1 species
GAUGAACGCUGGCGGUAUGCCUAACACAUGCAAGUCGUACGAGAGUUUUUAACUCUAGUGGCGGACGGGUGAGUAACACGUGAGAAUUUGCCUUUAGGAGGGGGACAACAAUCGGAAACGAAUGCUAAUACCCCAUAUGCUUUCGAGUGAAAUGGAUUUUAUCCGCCUAGAGAGAAGCUCGCGGCUGAUUAGCUUGUUGGUAAGGUAAGAGCUUACCAAGGCGACGAUCAGUAUCUGGUUUGAGAGGACGAUCAGACACACUGGAACUGAGACACGGUCCAGACUCCUACGGGAGGCAGCAGUGGGGAAUUUUCCGCAAUGGGCGAAAGCCUGACGGAGCAAUACCGCGUGAGGGAAGAAUGCCUAUGGGUUGUAAACCUUCUUUUUCAGGGAGGAACAAAAUGACGUGUACCUGAAGAAUAAGCAUCGGCUAACUCCGUG